CCAGCGCAAGGCGCGCCCCCGUGGGGCCGGGGCGCAGCCCAUCCCAGCGGCACCCGGAGCCGGAGUUUCUCGGAGGGCGAAAUAAAACUGGAGCGCUUGCUCCAUUUAUCCUUCCUUCCCCGCAAAACGCUUUUGGGGAGAAUAGUAUUGACCACGCGGUGCCCCCCCGCGUUGUGCUACCCCUGAGCAGAGCCGGGCUGUUCCACCCCCAAAGGAGCUUUCUGCCCUUCCUUCCACCCAGGUGACAUGGGGCAGACCUGGAGUCGGUGCCGUAUGGGCGAAAAAUAGAGGACUUCAUUGUGCAGAGAUAGCUGGAGGGGCAGAGACCCCCCCCCACCCCCGGGCUGGACAUCAGUUUCAGAGACAAGAGGUACCUGGGUAGGCACGUGGUCCUCUCAUCCAUUUAGGAGACUGGAGGCCCGUGGCAGCCCCCCCAUACACCCAGCCUAAGCCCCCUCCUGCCCCCCACCCCAGCCUGAAUCCGGCCAUUUGGCAGUCCCUGUCACCUUGUUACCAAUACUGCCACUGCGGGGCUUUGUUGGGGCAGCCCAGGGGAGCAGCUCCGUGACUUUCCGGGCUUAAGGAGAAGGGGCAUUGUAGUAGAAGCAGCUGCAGGGUUGGCACUGAAAUAGGUACAGCUGCACAGAAAGCCUCAGCAUCACCUGCAGCAGGUAGAAGUCACUGCUAGGUCUCUGAUACUAAUGAGAUGCACUAAAAACAGUCAUCAAAUGUAUGUUUCAGCACAGCACUGCUGCUUCAUCCUCCCCUGCUUGCUGCCUUUCUUGAACCUUAGCACAGAUACACGUUUAUAUGGGUUUCCCCUCUAAAUAAUGAAUUUAACAACUGUUAAAAAAGAAAGAGCAAAGGCAGAAAUAAGCACACAAACCAAAUCCACCAUCUGGGAAAUAUACAGCAUGAUCUCUAGCCUUAAAUAUCAAAGAAGCGCACAGAACUCAACACUACAAUAAGCCUCCUCAGUGGCAAGGGAAAAAAAUACCCAUCCCUGAACCAGACAACAUGAGAUACACCCAACAGCUCUGUGUUUCAAACCCACCCCAGAGAACACAAGUUUAACUCCUUGCAGCCAAUGAUGCUCCUCACCUGCUGACAUCCACAGCCUCACUAUGGUGCUCCCCAGGUGGGUGCUGAUGUCCUUGCAGAGGUUUUGUCAUUGGCAUUAAUUUUCCACGCAUGCAUAGUGUGACCAUAGGAAACGAAGAGCUCCCAAACCUAUCUGCAUAAAGGAACAAAGCUCGGUGGGUAACUCAGCUUCAAUAUGAGGUGCGGAAUAGUUUUGGGUUUCCAGUUUUGCCCGAGGAAGAGAAUAAUGUGUAGAUAAAGUGCAUGGCCUGAGCUCUUCAGCAGCCCCUGCCUGGCAUUGAUACUGAUGGGAAAUAGACACAGAAAUACCACUGCAAAAAGGUGCUGGGGCCCAGAGCUGUGUGUGCCCCAAGCAAGGACAAGGAUUCUUGGAGGUGGAAACCCUGGCGUUACUCAACUGAUAUUUUACAGAUGCUGCUGUACAGCCUUUGCAAGUUUCUUUUUCACAAAUUCAGCAUAAUUUCAUCUGGGUUGCUGACCUCCAGACAGCGGAUAGAAUAAGUAUUUGGGUUGGAAAGUUUUCAAGGUAUGAAAGCAGGAGGAUACCCACAGCCACGGUGGUAUCAUUGGAAUAACACGGAUCGUUUCUACCCAUGGAAUUAGGAGCAGCAAAAAAUCAGUGCUUGGAGUACCAGCUCACACCGAGCGCCUGCUGCAAAGCUGCACACAAAUCUCGUAACAGGAAAAGUACCAUUGUUUUUAAUGGCUUACAUUUUAUUAGAUUUUGAAGAGUGUUCACAUCAUAAAAUGCAGGCAGGAAGUUCUGUGUAUGUAAAACACAUCCGCAUUAAUUAUGAAAGCUGGUAAAUGAAUCAUACAUUACUGCAAAUAUAUUAUGCAUUGCUUACAUCGCUUCGCCGCGGCAUGUUUGCACGAUAGAAAUGGAAACUAGAAAGAAAGGCCAAAAAAAAAAAAAGCCAACAAAAAAAAUCCCAACAUUAGCUGAGGAGGAAAGAAGAAAGAGGGAAAGCACAGAGGGAAGAUGUGAGAGCAGCACGACCUUAUUUUUCUAAGGAGCCAAACUAAUGGCCCUUGUGAUAUCUGAGUACCCGUGCACUGCAAGCCCAGGAGUCGGGGAGGACUCAUGGGGUGAUUCUCUGACCAAGUUCUGUGUUGUUUUGAUAGCAGCAUCAUGUGGUGUCUCUCGCAGGGCUUUGCUACGACUCAGAGAUCUCUCCCCAUUUUUCAAGAUGAUGACUUUUCGUGCCUGCUCGGAGCUCAGAGCAGAGAGCUCAGGGAGCGCUGUGUAUGAGAGUGAACCGGCUUUGCAAGAUGAUGACUUAUUUCCUGCCAAAUUUGCUUUAAGAAACCACUUCAGUUCUGUGCACGAGACUUCACGUUGCUGUGAUUUAUUAUCCAGGAUAUAAAUGAAGAUCAGUUUGGUUAUAGUGGAAUUUAGAGCAAAAUUAAAUAUUUUCUCCUAUAGAAAGAACGUUACGAUUUCAUACAGCCAAAGCACACGCGUCCUGUCCGUAAGACAUCGCUGUGUGCUCGGGGAGGGGAGGCACACCAGGAGCCUACAGAGACAGCACACAGUCAGCUCAACUUUCAGCCAAAGCACGAUGCGAUGUGAGGCUGACGAUGAACCUUAGAAGCUGCCACGAGGGCUCCUUGGGGAGCAUACAGCUGAGGAUGGGGACACACAGCUGCUGGCAGCACUGCGCUCCGUGCCAUUCCCCUCCACUGCUCUGCAGCGAUGCUGGAUGAGGGCAGCUGCCUGCAGGGAUAACGCUGGGGAGCUCCUAAGCAAGAGGUGUUUUCCAGGGGAGUCUCAGGGACUGUACAGAGCAUGGAGUUGGAUUUCCACUGCCUACAAACUCUUGGCAACCAACAUGCCAUUCACCAUCCAGUCUUAAAACCUCCAUCCCUGGCCUUCAGCCACAGACCUGGAGGAGGAUGUGGGCCGCUGCUGAACUGGCAGCAGACAGCCACGUCCACCUUCUUUCUGAGAAAUAAAAGGGGAAUAAAGUGCAAUUAAAAAUCUAGGAACACUGCAAAUGGGUCGGACAGAUCAAAACUCUGGGGAUAUGUUAUUUGUGUUUGACAGAACUCAAUCUCCCAAAUGUUUCAGAGCAUCACUCAUAUCAGAGUGGGUGCACAUCCAGAGCUUUGCUCCUUCUGCAUUGUAAUGCUACCACCUUAUAGCCAGUAAGAAAAGCACAGCCUUUGGAUGAUUUCUGCUAGCUCCAGGCAAUCUAGAACCUCUGCCAAAGAGUUACAUAGAUGUAGCAUUUUAAAAUAAGGUUGUCUCCAAAGUCUUUUAAAUAAAGAGGCUGCAGUAGAGGCUGGCAGGCAGCAAGGACACCGACCAACCCAUCAGGACCCCAUUUUGCAACUUACAGCAGCUUGUCAGGAGAGAUCGAUAGUUGGCAUGGUAACAAGCUCAUUUCCCAAGAAUGGAGCUCCUUUUUAUUAAAUUUGGCUGGCUAUUGAUCAGUUCCUGAUCCACGUAUCAAAACAUGACAAGCACUUAAUGAAUCACAGAUUUUUAUUGAGCUGAAUAAAAAAAAACCCCACAAUAUCAGGAGGCAGCUGCAGUGAGGUGCUGGGGCAGGGAUGGAAAACCAACCGGUUGCAACUUACUCUUAUGGUGAUUUCAAGACCACGUUCAGAACACCCUGUGUUCCCACCGGUGUUUCUUAUGGCAGCAUCCCCACUAAGCAGCUUUGUGUGCCAAGUGGGGUUCCAUCCCCACUUGCUGACUGUGGCUGUCAGCUGUGGCUGCAAUGAAGUGAUUGGUCAAUUCAACCCAUGAAGUCUGGGUGAAAACGUCUCUGAAGUCCAAGUCUCAUGUUGAACUUCAUCCUACCAAGCACAGCUGCAGCCCUUCAAACCCAUGUUCCCUGCUCACCAACUAGGGGGUCCACACACCUCCCAGUGACAGCAUCCCUAUCCCCCAGGGUGGAGCUCUGAUUUGGUACCAAUCCCUCAGCCAUUCCGUAGGAACCACGUGGUCCAUAGCAAGAUGAUACUCCUUUAACUUGCUUUAACACACAUUUACAUGAGAGAUAAUAACAGCUCCAAAGGCUUCUUCCAGCCUAUUAAAUAAUACCCACUUAAAAUAUUGUCUGAAUUCAUACUGAAAUGACAGACUAUAAUAAUCCAGUCAUAGUCAUCCAGCAUAUACAGCUGACUGUAGAUACUUAGCAAAAUCAUGAGAUUAUUUUCAUGAUACAUUACAUGAUAGCUGAUUUUUUUUCACGUCAUCUCUUUUGACUGAUCUGAUACAGAGAACCUUUUUAAGACAUCUCCCUAUCCCUAUCUGCCAGAUAUUUUAAAAGUAGACAAAACACCCUGCCCACACGUAGGAAUAUGCUAAAGAUUCCAAAAAAAAAAACCAAAAGAAAAAGAAAAAGGUAUUGCAAACUGGGAUAAGCAUUUCAAGUGGAAGCUAAAACACCCCCAACAUUUCCCUACACCCACUGGAGAUGGCUGCCACACCAAAACCAAUAAAUUCAUAACAGAUCCCACCAUUUCAAGUAGCUUCACUUAAGAAAGCUCGUUUAAAAUUGACAAAACCUUGCAAUGCUUUUGAGUUUAUUUGCUUACAAUCACAGCAGCAGUCCCAUAGCAGGGACAGGACUUGAAAUUACCAGUAUUCAGUGAUAGUGUGGAUCUGCCCAGAGAAGCUGUGGGGUGCCCCAUCCCUGGAGGCGCCCAAGGCCAUGGAUGGGCCCUGGGCAGCCUGCUCUGGUGAGGAGCAACCAGCCCAUGGCAGGGGUUGGGGCUGGUUGGGCUUUAAGGUCCCUUCCAACCCAACCUUCUAUGAUUCUAUAUGUGCCUGGUGCAACGUGCACAACCACACGUAUCUAUGCACCUCAGGGUGCACUGCUAUCGCUCACAUUCCUG
ensembl:lncRNA